CUACGGGUGGCACCAGUGAGGAAUAUUGGUCAAUGGACGGAAGUCUGAACCAGCCAUGUCGCGUGCAGGAAGACGGCCUUAUGGGUUGUAAACUGCUUUUCUAUAGGGAGAAACCUCUUUACGAGUAGAGAGCUGACGGUACUAUAGGAAUAAACACCGGCUAACUCCGUGCCAGCAGCCGCGGUAAUACGGAGGGUGUAAGCGUUAUCCGGAAUCAUUGGGUUUAAAGGGUCCGUAGGCGGACUAUUAAGUCAGGGGUGAAAUCCCACGGCUCAACCGUGGAACUGCCUUUGAUACUGGUAGUCUUGAGUUAUUGUGAAGUAGAUGGAAUGUGUAGUGUAGCGGUGAAAUGCAUAGAUAUUACACAGAACACCGAUUGCGAAGGCAGUCUACUAAUAAUAUACUGACGCUGAGGGACGAAAGCGUGGGGAUCGAACAGGAUUAGAUACCCCAGUAGUC
rnacentral:rRNA from 1 species